rnacentral:rRNA from 1 species
GAACGCUGGCGGCGUGCCUAACACAUGCAAGUCGAGCGCGAAAGUCCCUUCGGGGGCGAGUAGAGCGGCGGACGGGUGAGUAAUACAUAGGUAAUCUACCUUCGAGCUUGGGAUAACCCCGCGAAAGUGGGGCUAAUACCGGAUAAGACCACGCAACCAUGUUGCGGGGUAAAAGGUGGCUUAUUUUUUAAAUGAGCUAUCACUUGAGGAUGAGCCUAUGGCCUAUCAGCUUGUUGGCGGGGUAAGAGCCCACCAAGGCUAUGACGGGUAGCUGGUCUGAGAGGACGAUCAGCCACACUGGGACUGAGACACGGCCCAGACUCCUACGGGAGGCAGCAGUGGGGAAUAUUGGGCAAUGGGCGAAAGCCUGACCCAGCGACGCCGCGUGGGCGAUGAAGGCCUUCGGGUUGUAAAGCCCUGUCAUGCGGAAAGAACGACCCUGUGACGCAUACUCACAGGGAGUGACGGUACCGCAGGAGGAAGCACCGGCUAACUCCGUGCCAGCAG